ACAGGACAUUAACAGUUUUUUAAAGGUGAAGUUCUGGAUUAUGUCCCUCAGUAGAAAAAAAAAUGUUUUCCAUAUAUAUAGAUCUCUAGACUCAUGGCAAGAACCUGAAAACAAAAUCUUCACUUCAGCAUUGGGAAGUAUAUGAAACUGUUUUCAGACCACACAACUCUGUGAGCUCAUCGCCAAGAAUUGGUCUGCAAGGUCUUCAGAAGGGCAGGCUAUUUGUAAACUCCUUUUGACUUAGCUGAGCAAGAGAAAAUCUAGUGACUGAAAAAGAAUAAGAAGAAAAACACUGACCAAGAUAAUAAUCCCAAGAAGUCAAAAAUUAAGACCUGAGAGGAAGAAGGCAGACUAAAGAAAGUAGGAAAGAUGCAAGGAGAAAGAUUGUCAUCUGCAUACCAGGAAGAGGGCCCUCACCAGACACUGAAUCUGCUGCAUCCUUGAUCUUGGACUUCCAACCUCUAGAACCAUGUGAAAUACAUUUCUGUUGUUUUAACCACCCCAUCUACAGUAUUUUGUUAGGGCAGCCCAAGCUGACUAAGAUAGCCUUAUUACACCUUAUUUUAGUAAUAAUAAUCAUUUCAUUAAUAAUACGAUCCCUGAAAGUAGCUCCUCCCCUACCAGCACCACCCAUUCUUUCUCGUAUCUGAUGGUCAUACUGAUUAUCCAGAAGCCAUUAUGUUGAAGGAGCAACAAUUUUAAAUUUUAAACCUUGUAGAGUCCUGUGAUCUUGGCAUCAUCUCUCAAUCUGUAUGCUUAUACAGUCUGCUCUGAUGAUAACAAUUCUCCUGAGGGGAAAAUUUAGGAAUUGUUUCAUUCAAAGUUUUUUUUUGGCAUAACAGUUAAAGAAAAUAUUUGUGGGUGAUAGAAAAUGACUGAUUUUACCUUAAAACGAAGAUUAAAAAAUGUUGACUUGCCAUGAAGGGAACUGGAUGUUUUUUUCCAAAUAUAAUUAAAAACAGUGGGAUAAAGGGAUAAACACUAAGAAUCCUUCGAGGAUGUAUAUUUGUCUCCUCUACAUAUUAGAGAAAGGAAGAAGGGACCUUUCCCUGCACUGGGUGAUGUAGGGAAUUUGCCUAAUAUUGUUAUUGAACCUGGUGGGCUGGGCCUGGCCAGAGUCAGCUUUUCCUCCUCUCUCUGGAUCAAAUUAUGGUGAUGUGGCUGACAUUCAAUAAAGCCCAAACACAGGCCACAGGCCAGGAGCACUCAGGUAACAAGACAUGACCUCCAUCUUCAAGACAAGGAGGUAGAAUUGCUGGGUCCCUGAGAUGGAGGGUUUAGUCUGCCUCAUUCACUCUUUCAUCUCCAGCACCUACCACAGCACCUCAUCCAGGGUACAAAUUUAAUAACCAUUUAUCAAAUGAAUAAAUGGAUUCUGUCACAGUAUAGCAGUGAUAUUCUGGAAGCUUAACCAAAUUAAUAAAUUAUGUGGCCUGACAUGGUGGUGUGUGCUUGUAGUCCCAGCUAUGUAGGAGGCUGAGGGGGGAGGUUGGCUUGAAUUCAGAAAUUUCAGUGUCCAGCCUGAGCAAUGUAUUGAGAUGACCUCAUUUCUGAAACAAAACAAAACACUAAAAACAAUAAAGCAAAGCACAAAUAAAUUGUGAAGUAAGUAUAAUUAGUUUUACCAGUGUUAGAAUAUGAGGCGAGGAGGUUUCUGAGCAUGACUCCAUGGAGCAGGUGAAUUGGGGUUUUGAAGGUUAAGUAGAAGUCUUUCAGAUGAAGUAGAAAGGGGCAUUUCAGUGGUUGUUGAGAUCAAUGGCAGGUAGACCAGAUAAGGAACUAGUCUAGUAACCAAAGCAAGUGAGGGUGAAGACCUGGCUGAGGGUAGUGUCAGUGGGAUUGGAGAGGAGGAAAAGAUUGGGAAUUUAUAUGAGAAAAUCAAAUAAAUGCCACUUUGAUGCUGACUGAUAUACAACUGGGUCACAGAGGAGUCAGAGAAGGCUCUGAGGGCAUCCUGGGAGGGAGGGCACUGCAUCAGCUCUGUACUUUCUUAAACUCCACCUAAUUUUUCCCUCCUAACUAGGACAAAAGCUUAAGAGGAACUUGUCUCUUUGUUCACUGCUGAGUCUUCGGUGCCCAGAACAGAUCUUGGCACAAGGACAUUCAACUUCUGCUGACUAGAUGAUUCAGAUGUUGCAAAUGUCAUCUUCAAGGAUGCCCAUAUUGCCUGGAUUCUAACUACCUUGGUGAAGUCUCACUGCUUUGUUUGUCAUUGGUAUUUCAGUAUGGAGACCUUCUAUGUCCAGACUUAAUCAAUUUUCUGUACUUGUUCAUUCUGCUUCUGCUGGUGUUUUGCAGUAAGCCAGAGGUCAGCGGAAUAUUGUGGACUGCAGGAAGAGGUUAAACAGAUAACUCUGAUUAGACUUUCACAAUGGGGUCCCCAUAUUGCAUUUACAUGGCCAUACAUUAAUAAUUACAUAGAAUUAUUAUGAUAAAAGGCCCCUUUUAUCAUAAUAAUUCUAAUAACUGGUAUUUAUUUAGCACCUAGUAUGUAGUAGGAACUCUCCUUAGCACUUUAUAUAAAUUUCAUUUAAUCUUUCUAACAACGCUAUAUUAUUUAAUCUUUACAAAUCUUUACAACAACUAAUAACGGUUUUUAUUUCCAAUUGGUAGAUGAGAAAAUUGAUGCUCAGAGGUGUUGUGCAACUUAAAAAUGUACUGCAGCUGGGAAACCACCUGCUGGUUUCUCAUUACAGCUAAGGUACCAGAGCUAAGGAAUAACUUACGCCUAUAAUCUGAGCAUUUUGGAAGGCCAAGGCAGACGGAUCACCUGAGGUAAGGAGUUUGAGACCAGCCUGGCCAACAUGGUGAAAUCCCGUCUCUACUAAAAACACAAAAAUUAGCCAGGCAUGGUGGUAGGCGCCUGUAAUCUCAGCUACUAGGGAGGCUGAGGCAGGAAAAUUGCUUGUACCCGGGAGGUGGAGGUUGCAGUGUGCCAAGAUCGCACCAUUGCACUGCAGCCUGGGAGACAGAGCAAGACACUAUCUUAAAAAAAAAAAAAAA
ensembl:lncRNA